rnacentral:lncRNA from 1 species
UUUCCGCGGCACGCACGCACGCCCGCACUCCCACGGGAGUCAGUUUCUCACCAGCUGAAUUAUUUGAAUUUAGCACCACUAAAAGUGGAGCAAUCAGAAAUACUCUAUGCAGUGAUUACUUCUGGCUGUGAUACAUAAAAACAGGAAAAUCUCAAUAGAGAAAAAAUACGUAUUGAUGAUACAUAAUCUGGAUUUUUCCAAAGAACAAAAACUAUGAAUUGGGUUGCAAGGAUUUCAUGUUAAGACAACAGUAAGAAUAAAGACAUGGAGUAGAAGAUACACACGUUGAGUAGGUUUAACAGGCCUGAGCAAAAGAUGCAUAUAAUGAAACGUCACAAGAACAGACUAGAAAUUCCUCUAAGCCUGUUGCGAGAGCCAAAGAAAAUACAUCUGUAUUUGACUGUUGAUAAUGAGGAAUUUCUGAAAGGUUGACCUAUAGAAGUUCUGAAAAAAUGCUUCUAAACAAACCAGAUUCCUUUGUCAAACAGAUAAGGGAAAUUAUGGAUAUGUAAUGCCACUUUAGAAAUUUCAAAUGCACAUUAACAAAGCAACAGCAAAAAGCAAACCCCAUUUAACAUUGUUUAACCUAGAUUUUAUGAACUUAUUUACCAAGGAAACUCUCCCAUCUGUAUUUCCCUACUUGUAAUACUUAUUAAGAAUCACUAUUUUGGUGUCGUUGGAAUUUACUUAGAGAAAUGCGGUCUAACCUCUGCUUUAAGAAGACAACUCUGGCAGAACUAUCAAUUGGAAAAAGAGAGUUUAGAUGCUAGGAGGCCAUUAUAAUAGCUCACUUGAGAGCUAAUCUGUGCAUGACUCUGAUGGGAGAAAAUAAAACUGAGAAAAAGGCAUGCAUUGGAGGCAACAAUCCUUGGAAUGUGAUUGACUGUAGAGAAUAAUGAAUGUGGAAGACCCAGAACAGACUUUAAAAUGUUAAGCCCAAAUGACUGUCUGACAGGUGGUAUCUGUAACAAAAAUUGGAAACUCUGAAGGAAGAACAAGAUUCUGAGGAAACGACUAAUUUUUUAAUGUGUUGAGCUUGAGGGCCUGCUUUGGAACUAACAGGCAGCUGAAGAUUUCAUUUCAUGUCAAAGAAACUUAAUUUAAAAUCCAUCAAGUACUAAACUCAGAGCUAAAUGUGAAGGACUGAAAUACCAACUUGCCCACCAUGUUAGGUUUAUGAGAGCUCAAUGCAGAAAUGCCUCUGAAGUGGGAAAAUCUAUAAUUUCUCCGAAGAAGCACUGUCUGUGCUCUGGAGGUCAGAAAAUUUCUAGACUCAUGUCUUCAUUAGGGUAGAUCGAGAAGCCUUUUAGAAAUUAAAUUUUGGACAUGCCCAUGUGUCCUCUGAGCCUGUCCUUUCUGUCAGAAGUCACGCAGAGACCCAAAUGUCAAAAAGGGACACACUCUUUUGUUGAUGCACAAGAUUGUGGCAUUCCAAUCUCUUUCUGAAAAUACAUUAUUGGAUUCUUUGCAGCCAAAUUCUUAAGAAAAGUUUGGUAUUGGAGACUAAUAUUCCAUGAAGAAUUACCUGAAGCAUGAGGAAAUCAUCCCUUUAGAUCAGUGGAUUUUUUGCUUUAAUUUUUAAAUUGACACAUCAUUGUACAUAUUUAUAGGGUAUAGGGUGAUAUUUUGAUUAGAUCAGUGUUUUAUAUAGCAUGUUAUGUAAAGCUUCUGAGAAGAGUCAGGGAGCAUCUUAGAAAGCAAAAUGGAGUCUGUAAACAGACAUGUAAUGAAUACUAAGACAUGUAAUGAAUCUUCAUGCCCUCCCAGAUAUUUCAGAGACAUCCAGUUAUGUUGGGAUCACGUGGAAAGAUCUAAGAGACUCUGAGGUGAAGUGCCAUGAAUCACUCUGGGGCUGAGGCAGUAAAAAGCCCCUGCCUCCUUCCCAGGUUCUCUCCUUUUCCACUUCCAGUACUUUGAAGGUUACGUGCAAUGUGUGUCAUAGGUUAAUGAUAGAGGAGUUUAUUCUGACUGACAUUGAACUUUAUGGGAGCAACCCACAAACUUUGGUGUGGUUGAGCCACUGAGAAUUCAAGCUUAGUAUCUUCUUGUUGCUGUUGCUGUUUACCAACACUGUGGUAUUUCUACAGGGCUCAAGCGGGCAGAGAAAUUCCAUGUGAACAAGAAUGUCUCAUGUUGGGCUUCUGUAUAAAUUGUGCUGUUGAAAAAUGUUAAGCAGAUAAAAAUUUUAGAAAUUCA